GACGAACGCUGGCGGUGUGCUUAACACAUGCAAGUCGAACGGUAAGGCCCUUUCGGGGGUCCACGAGUGGCGAACGGGUGAGUAACACGUGAGUAACCUGCCCUCAUCUCUGGGAUAACAGUCGGAAACGGUUGCUAAUACUGGAUAUGAGCUUGCAAGGCAUCUUGUGGGUUGGAAAGAUUUUUUUUGGUUGGGGAUGGAUUCGCGGCCUAUCAGCUUGUUGGUGAGGUAGUGGCUCACCAAGGCUUCGACGGGUAGCCGGCCUGAGAGGGCGACCGGCCACAUGGGGACUGAGAUACGGCCCAAACUCCUACGGGAGGCAGCAGUGGGGAAUAUUGCACAAUGGACGGAAGUCUGAUGCAGCAACGCCGCGUGCGGGAUGACGGCCUUCGGGUUGUAAACCGCUUUCAAUUGUGACGAAGCUUUUUUGUGACGGUAGCAGUAGAAGAAGCACCGGCUAACUACGUG
rnacentral:rRNA from 1 species